GAUGAACGCUGGCGGCGUGCCUAAUACAUGCAAGUCGAGCGAACAGACGAGGAGCUUGCUCCUCUGACGUUAGCGGCGGACGGGUGAGUAACACGUGGAUAACCUACCUAUAAGACUGGGAUAACUUCGGGAAACCGGACCUAAUACCGGAUAAUAUAUUGACCCCCAGGGUUCAUUAGUGAAAGAGGGUUUUGCUUUCCCUAAUAGAUGGUUCCGCGCCGCAUUAGCUAGUUGGUAAGGUAACGGCUUACCAAGGCAACGAUGCGUAGCCGACCUGAGAGGGUGAUCGGCCACACUGGAACUGAGACACGGUCCAGACUCCUACGGGAGGCAGCAGUAGGGAAUCUUCCGCAAUGGGCGAAAGCCUGACGGAGCAACGCCGCGUGAGUGAUGAAGGUCUUCGGAUCGUAAAACUCUGUUAUUAGGGAAGAACAAAUGUGUAAGUAACUAUGCACGUCUUGACGGUACCUAAUCAGAAAGCCACGGCUAACUACGUG
rnacentral:rRNA from 1 species